UACGGGGGGGGCAAGCGUUGUUCGGAAUUACUGGGCGUAAAGGGCUCGUAGGUGGCCAACUAAGUCGGACGUGAAAUCCCUCGGCUUAACCGGGGAACUGCGUCCGAUACUGGAUGGCUUGAGUUUGGGAGAGGGAUGCGGAAUUCCAGGUGUAGCGGUGAAAUGCGUAGAUAUCUGGAGGAACACCGGUGGCGAAGGCGGCAUCCUGGACCAACACUGACACUGAGGAGCGAAAGCCAGGGGAGCAACGGG
rnacentral:rRNA from 1 species